UUUUAUUCCCCGGACCCGAACACUCACUGUGACGUCACUGCCCCUUAUUUUACAGAGCUAACGCGACAGGGCACUUAUUCCCAGGGAUUAACAGUACAGCCUAACAGAUAUUGCGUCAUCAGUGUAGCCUGGCAAGAUGGAUGGCAUGUACAAGGGACGCAAGUUCUUGUCAUUUACCCAAGCUGUAAGCGCACAUGUACCUGUGGAGAUGUUGGAGGACAUGCGCAAGAUGAAGAUAGUGCACUGGGAAGCAGGCAGCCGGCCACCGACAUACACUCCAUCUGAGGCACUGUUGUAUGCCAUCGUGCUCGGCCACCGAGCUUACGCACAAUACUUGCUGAAUAAGUUCUUAGACGGUGCUCUUGUCAUGAGAGGUGAGAAUGUCUACUGCUGUCAAUCAUAUGUUCCACACUUAGACAUGGCUAUCCGCUACAACAGGAAGGACAUAGUGCCUCUCAUUCUUCAUGUGGCACAUAAAUUCCCGCCUCUACCAUCCUACGUGAUCCGAGGAGGAUGCGAACACAUGAAGGAGGGCAGAACUACACUCCAUCUGGCAUGUGUCAUGUCACAACCAGAGACUGUUAUAAUGUUACUGGGAAGUGGGGCUUCACCACAAGCUAAGGCUGGUGAUGGUGUGACACCACUGGAUCUCAUUCUCGAAAAGUUACGGACCUCCAAAGGGAACAUACGUGCCAAGAUGUGCCUGGAAAGGCUGCUCAUGUUCAUGCCUGAAGUGCGGUUCAAAAUGAAGAGCUCACUGAACAAUGAUCCAGAGUACUGGUCCAAAGUUCUGGGAGAGGAGAUGUUUAACUACUUGGUUGGAAGAAUUCCAGGGACACUCUUUCUCAUAGCUAUGCAAAAAACUCUGGCUCAACUACCUUCUCAUGACUUUUUUGAAAGGCUGGAUGAACUGCCCAUUCCAGCUUCUCUGAAACCUACUACAUCACAGCCCUUAAUGCGGUGGAACUCCUACUGAAACAUCCUUUUUUUUAUAUCAAAUUUGUAUCUGUUUGACUGGCAUAAAUUUGUAAUGUAAAUUUGAGUGCAUGUGCCUAUUGUCUUUUAAAUCAACUUAAACAGUAGACUAAUCCUAAUUUGGCAUUUUUCUUGAAGGUUUUAUUUUUUACAACACUGAUUACAAAAAGAGAGAUUAUUAUUAUUGUUAUUAUUAUUAUUAUUAUUAUUAUUAUUAUUAUUAUUAUUAUUAUUAUUAUUAUUAUUAUAUGAAAUUCUGGCUACCAACAAUACUUGGUAUUAGGCACGGACAGGUACCAGUCCAUGCGUCAUUAUGUCCCGGGCUGCACAGAAAGUACAAUUCUUUUAAGAAUCAUAUAAAUAUUACGGUAGUGUGUUAUUCUGUAAAUCAACGCAAACACUACAAUAAUCAACUCGUGAAUAUUAUAGUGUUUGUGUUAUUGUGUAAAUAAACACAAUAUAUUCAAA